GAAACUUGGAGAGUUUAUUUUUGAGGAUGUUCAGUCGCUGGAGACAUAUUUGCUGAGAUAAUUCAAAGCAUUGUGCUGGAAUAGGUAAGGGGAGCCCUGGCAGGGGGAGAGUGGCUUCCUACAGAUGUGUGGGUCCCCAAAUGUCGUGUCUUUCGCCGUUGCAUGGUGAAACUCCUUAAAGUCACGCAUUCCUGGGCCUGGAUCCCAGAGACCUCUGCUCACCUGGCUGACCUGAGCAGGGGCUCAGAACUCUGUGUCUCUCCUUUUCUAAAAACUCUGUGUCUGUCCUUUUUUAAAAAUG
rnacentral:lncRNA from 1 species